rnacentral:rRNA from 1 species
UACGUAGGGGGCGAGCGUUAUCCGGAUUUACUGGGUGUAAAGGGAGCGUAGACGGCUGGUCAAGUCUGAAGUGAAAGCCCGGGGCUUAACCCCGGAACGGUUUUGGAAACUGAGCAGCUAGAGUGCUGGAGAGGUAAGCGGAAUUCCUAGUGUAGCGGUGAAAUGCGUAGAUAUUAGGAGGAACACCAGUGGCGGAGGCGGCUUACUGGACAGUAACUGACGUUGAGGCUCGAAAGCGUGGGGAGCAAACAGG